ACAGUUGAAACAGAACCUGGUAAAUAUUAAAGGGCUGCAGUAUUUUGACUGUACAAAGGUAGCAUAAUCAAUAGUUUUUUAAUUGAAAACUUGAAUGAAAGAUUUGAUGAAAUAUAAACUGUCUCAUAUAUUAUUAUUAAAAUUUUAUUUUUUAGUUAAAAAGCUAAAAUAAUUUUAAAAGACGAGAAGACCCUAUAGAGUUUUAUAUUUUUAUUUAUUAUAAAAUUAUAUUAAAAUUUAUAUAUAAAAUAAGUAGAAAUAUUAUAUUGGGGUGAUAAAAAAAUAAAAUUAACUUUUUAAAUAUAAAAUAUAAAUAAGUAGAUAAUUGAUCCAUUAUUAAUGAUUAAAAGAAAAAAUUACCUUAGGGAUAACAGCGUAAUAUUUUUUUUUAGUUCAAAUAAAAAAAAAAGUUUGCGACCUCGAUGUUGGAUUAAAAUAAAAUUUAAAUGUAAAAGUUUAAAAUUUUGAUCUGUUCGAUCAUUAAAAUCUUACAUGAUCUGAGUUCAAACCGGG
rnacentral:rRNA from 1 species